rnacentral:lncRNA from 1 species
GGCCAGGCGGUUGCCCUGACAACGGGGAACCGACCGACUCUUCCCGGUAGGGAGAGGCGAUGGCGGAAUUACUCCUCUAAUGUCAAGGUAUUCUAAUCACAGAAUUACUGGAGCAUCAAGAAGUGCCUGCAUGCUUGGAAGGGCUUCCAGGCAGAUGAACACACCUCAGCACCGGGUGGCAUUUUCCCAGGGUGCAACCCGGACCGGCUCUGGGUCACACUGACAAGCCUCUCCGACUCCCCAGGCUGGGUUGGGUGCUCCUCCCUCUCAUCCCACAGCGCUAUGUCUCAUGUCUUCUGGAAAACUUGCCAAUCCCUAGUGACAACAGGGUUAACAAUUUCCAGAGACAGCCCGUACAUAGAAGGAAUGUUUACUGAAAAAAAUGAAGAGGGGUCAGGGCAAGGCGAGGAGCAAGAAGCACCCCCAAGGAAACAGAGAAGACCAGUACAACUGUACCUCUUUGCCAGCUGCACCAUCCGUACCAGUCUCCUGGGGUGGAAGUGUCCAGCACAGAGACUGCCACACUGCAAGACGAAGGGGCUGGACACACGGAAGAGAGAGGCGGAACCCUGCACCCCCUCAACCUCAGCCCUACUGAGUCUCCAAUGGGGCCACGCUUCUGAGUGCACCUCCCCGUGUCAUCUGUAAUGUGAGGGGGAACCAGGCUUGAUAUGGCAUUCCCAAUCCAGGGCCUCUGGACCCCUUGAGAUGCAU